GAUCCUGGCUCAGGACGAACGCUGGCGGCGUGCCUAAUACAUGCAAGUAGAACGCUGAAGAGAGGAGCUUGCUCUUCUUGGAUGAGUUGCGAACGGGUGAGUAACGCGUAGGUAACCUGCCUUGUAGCGGGGGAUAACUAUUGGAAACGAUAGCUAAUACCGCAUAACAAUGGAUGACCCAUGUCAUUUAUUUGAAAGGGGCAAAUGCUCCACUACAAGAUGGACCUGCGUUGUAUUAG
rnacentral:rRNA from 1 species